UACGUAGGGUGCAAGCGUUAAUCGGAAUUACUGGGCGUAAAGCGUGCGCAGGCGGUUUUGUAAGUCUGUCGUGAAAUCCCCGGGCUCAACCUGGGAAUUGCGAUGGAGACUGCAAGGCUAGAAUCUGGCAGAGGGGGGGUAGAAUUCCACGUGUAGCAGUGAAAAUGCGUAGAGAUGUGGAGGAACACCGGUGGCGAAGGCGGCAUCCUGGACCGGCAUUGACGCUGAGGCGCGAAAGCCAGGGGGAGCAAACGGG
rnacentral:rRNA from 1 species